AAACUUAAUAGUUACAACUUUCAACAACGGAUCUCUUGGUUCUGGCAUCGAUGAAGAACGCAGCGAAAUGCGAUAAGUAGUGUGAAUUGCAGAAUUCAGUGAAUCAUCGAAUCUUUGAACGCACAUUGCGCCCCUUGGUAUUCCAUGGGGCAUGCCUGUUCG
rnacentral:rRNA from 2 species